GUAAUUCCAGAAUGAAAGAGUGUGGCGUCUGGAUUUAGACACAGUUGAGUUUUAUUCCUGUCUUUAUCAUUUAUUAACUCUGUGUUCCAGAGUGUGUUUUUAAAAUUUUCUGAACCUCAGUUUUCUUCUCUACGAGAUGGGAAUACUAAUACCAAUCUCAAAGGACUGUUGUGAAGAUGAAAGCAGGAACCGUGUGGAGCUACUCCUAGAAGAUACUCAGUGGGUGUUCUGCCUCUGCUUCUCUUUCCUCCUCUGCCCGAUCCACCCUCCCUCUCUCAUAGGCCCUGUUGGUUGGCUUACGCAGCCGUCAUCUCUGAUCUGCUAUCUGGAUGUCUUCUACUACCCAUGCUAGAAAAGCUACAUUUUGCUUUUCCCAGCCUCCCUUGCAUCUAGUGAUGGAAGACACACUUCUGGCCAAUAGAACAUAAAAACAUGCCUCCUGAGAGUUUUCAGGGAAAGUUUUGGUUUACCGAUAAACACACAGAAGCAGUUGGAAACAUUCUUUCUUAUUAUCUUCUGUUUCUGCAGUUCUUCUGCGUGAGCUGCCACCACAGCAAGGCAACUGACAGACAAGUGGUGUGGUUCUGCAACCAGGAAAUGAACUUGGGCCACUGAAGUGGGAGUGCUGAAUUUUAACCACUAGACCAUCAGGGCUGGCUCUCUUCUUCCUAUCCUGAAUGCCUGGUUGUGCAACAGCCAUUUUAUGACCAUGAGGCAACAGUCACACUAGAAAAUCCAAAAGAAUCAUAGAGCCUCACAGAGAUGCAGAUCCUGACCUGAGUGAGCCCCUCAACAGGAACUGGCAGCUGCCUACCUCAGUCUUCCAGUUCUCACAGCAGUCCUUUGAGGCAGCUGCUCCUCUUAUCUCCAUGUCCCAGCAAGGAGAGCCGCUCUAAAGAAGGUUGUAACCUGCCCAGAGUCACACAGCGAGUGAGCACUGGAGACGGAGUCUGAACUCGAGCCCCCUGAUUCCGUAACCAUUCCAACCCUGCUGCUGAAGAAAUGUUGGCACGUGCUCCUAGUUCCUUCUCUAAGAUAAGUUAUUAAGUAAAACAAUUGUAUAGUAUUGACAUCUGUAAUCGGAGAAACCCAGGUCCUUCAACCUCCUCAAGAACACUCCCUUCACAGAUCAAAAGAUGAUUGGCUCCUAAGUGUCAGAUGCUGAGCUGAGCACCAAGGCCGCAAAGAGAGAACACUGAAGGAAUGUUUGGAGAGAAUGCUGAUGCCUCUGGACUGCGCCCAGUUCUAAACAAGGAUUAACACCAACCAUGCAUGCAUCUGCUAUGAACCCAAACGAUCUCUUAAAGCUGUUGCAUCUUUCCUCCCAUUCUUUGAGGACCAAAAAACGAAUAAAAAAUGUGUACUUUACAAC
rnacentral:lncRNA from 1 species